rnacentral:misc_RNA from 1 species
GAUGAAGAACGUAGCGAAAUGCGAUACUGGGUGUGAAUUGCAGAAUCCCGCGAAUCAUCGAGUUUUUGAACGCAAGUUGCGCCCGAAGCCAUUCGGCCGAGGGCACGUCUGCCUGGGUGUCACGCAUCGUUGCCCCCCCAAACUCCGGUUCGGACAGGGCGGAAGUUGGCCUCCCGUGCGUGCCUGCGCGCGCGGUUAGCCCAAAAGCGAGUCCUCGGCGACGAGCGCCACGACAAUCGGUGGUUUUUUUACCCUCGUUCCUCGUCGUGCGUGCCCCGUCGCCCGAACGCGCUCUUGCGACCCUUACGCGUCGCCUCGGCGGCGCUCCCAACGCGACCCCAGGUCAGGCGGGACUACCCGCUGAGUUUAAGCAUAUCAAUAAGCGGAGGA